ACGGAGCAACGCCGCGUGAGUGAUGACGGCCUUCGGGUUGUAAAGCUCUGUUAAUCGGGACGAAAGGCCUUCUUGCGAAUAGUGAGAAGGAUUGACGGUACCGGAAUAGAAAGCCACGGCUAACUACGUGCCAGCAGCCGCGGUAAUACGUAGGUGGCAAGCGUUGUCCGGAAUUAUUGGGCGUAAAGCGCGCGCAGGCGGAUAGGUCAGUCUGUCUUAAAAGUUCGGGGCUUAACCCCGUGAUGGGAUGGAAACUGCCAAUCUAGAGUAUCGGAGAGGAAAGUGGAAUUCCUAGUGUAGCGGUGAAAUGCGUUAGAUAUUAGGAAGAACACCAGUGGCGAAGGCGACUUUCUGGGACGAAAACUGACGCUGAGGCGCGAAAGCCAGGGAGCGAACGGGAUUAGAUACCCCGGGUAGUCUGGCCGUAAACGAUGGUCUAGUGUAG
rnacentral:rRNA from 1 species